CACUCCUGCGGGAGGCAGCAGUGGGGAAUAUUGGACAAUGGGCGCAAGCCUGAUCCAGCCAUGCCGCGUGAGUGAUGAAGGCCCUAGGGUUGUAAAGCUCUUUCACCGGUGAAGAUAAUGACGGUAACCGGAGAAGAAGCCCCGGCUAACUUCGUACCAGCAGCCGCGGUAAUACGAAGGGGGCUAGCGUUGUUCGGAUUUACUGGGCGUAAAGCGCACGUAGGCGGACUAUUAAGUCAGGGGUGAAAUCCCGGGGCUCAACCCCGGAACUGCCUUUGAUACUGGUAGUCUUGAGUUCGAGAGAGGUGAGUGGAAUUCCGAGUGUAGAGGUGAAAUUCGUAGAUAUUCGGAGGAACACCAGUGGCGAAGGCGGCUCACUGGCUCGAUACUGACGCUGAGGUGCGAAAGCGUGGGGAGCAAACAGGAUUAGAAACCCCAGUAGUCCCAUGA
rnacentral:rRNA from 1 species